rnacentral:rRNA from 1 species
GACAGAGGGGGCAAGCGUUGCUCGGAAUUACUGGGCGUAAAGGGCGCGUAGGCGGGAUGGCAAGUCGGUCGUGAAAUCCCUCGGCUCAACUGAGGAUCGUCGAUCGAUACUGCCGUUCUUGAGGAUUGCAGAGGAGACUGGAAUUCCCGGUGUAGCGGUGAAAUGUGUAGAGAUCCGGAGGAACACCGGUGGCGAAGGCGGCUUCCUGGACCGACACUGACGCUGAGGCGCGAAAGCUAGGGGAGCAAACGGG